UUAACCCCUUCAUGUAUUAAUUAGACUUCAGCAUGUUGGCUACAUAAGCUGGUUAUCCCACAACGAGUUCAGGUGGGAAUCUGUAGACCUCCAGGUGUUGCUAGAUUAUAUCUCCUCUCAUUCCUGAUCAUUAGCUACACUGGCUGGGGCUGACAGGAUUGGAGUCCCGCAAUAAUUGAGAGGCCACAGCUUUCUCUAUCCUUGCUAGCUAAAGCCUAAAACAUUUUGGAAUGCAGGUACGUAAAGUACUGUCUUCUCUGUACAUACCACACCAUGCUUCAAUCAACAGCCAAGCACCUGAUCCAGAUUAGAUGCAUCAGCUCACCCUUUUGCAGAUUACGAAAGAAGGAUAAAGAAAUCUCUCACCAACCCAAGCUGGAGCUGAUGACAGUUAGAGUCCCAAACAUCUGGAGAAGGCUGUUCUACAUCGUCCAACAAACCACUCCCUUCAGAUUCACAUU